rnacentral:rRNA from 1 species
UGAGGAAUAUUGGUCAAUGGGGGCAACCCUGAACCAGCCAAGUCGCGUGAAGGAUGAAGGUCUUAUGGAUUGUAAACUUCUUUUACACGGGAAUAAAGUGGGGGACGUGUCCCCCUUUGCAUGUACCGUGUGAAUAAGGAUCGGCUAACUCCGUGCCAGCAGCCGCGGUAAUACGGCGGGUGCAAGCGUUAUCCGGAUUUAUUGGGUUUAAAGGGUCCGUAGGCGGACUUAUAAGUCAGUGGUGAAAGCCUGUCGCUUAACGAUAGAACUGCCAUUGAUACUGUAAGUCUUGAGUAUAUUUGAGGUAGCUGGAAUAAGUAGUGUAGCGGUGAAAUGCAUAGAUAUUACUUAGAACACCAAUUGCGAAGGCAGGUUACCAAGAUAUAACUGACGCUGAGGGACGAAAGCGUGGGGAGCGAACA